GGCCAGACUCCUACGGGAGGCAGCAGUGGGGGAUAUUGCACAAUGGGGGGAACCCUAAUGCAGCGACGCCGCGUGGGUGAAGAAGCGCCUCGGCGCGUAAAGCCCUGUCAGCAGGGAAGAAAAUGACGGUACCUGAAGAAGAAGCCCCGGCUAACUACGUGCCAGCAGCCGCGGUAAUACGUAGGGGGCAAGCGUUAUCCGGAUUUACUGGGUGUAAAGGGGGCGCAGACGGCGAUGCAAGCCAGGAGUGAAAGCCCGGGGCCCAACCCCGGGACUGCUCUUGGAACUGCGUGGCUGGAGUGCAGGAGGGGCAGGCGGAAUUCCUGGUGUAGCGGUGAAAUGCGUAGAUAUCAGGAGGAACACCGGUGGCGAAGGCGGCCUGCUGGACUGCGACUGACGUUGAGGCCCGAAAGCGUGGGGAGCAAACAGGAUUAGAUACCCCUGCAU
rnacentral:rRNA from 1 species